CCUGUGUUGAGGAAGCUAAAUGUUAAAUUACUGUAGAGCGGAGUCCACAGUGACUUGUUUGCAUUUUAAGCAUUGCUGCUUCACUAAUGCCUGUUUAGUCAUUUGAUGUAUGCAAAUUCUUGCUGGUCUUUUCACAUUUCUGAAAGAGGUGCUUACUUUUAAAUUCAAUUGAUACUGCAGUAUCCAGAACGUGCUUUUGUUCACCUGUCUGAUACUCAGAAAAAUUCUUUUGUCUUUGGGUAACAUCUCUGUUUAUGAUUGUUAGUGGCACGAACUUAGAAUCUAUGACCAUAGGAUGUGCAUCAUGAUGUGUUGUGACAUGUGAACAAAUUGGAGAAAAAAAUACAAUACAAAGAGAAGUUGAAGGAUAGCCUGCAGGAGGAUCAAUGUGAAUACCUUUUCUUAUUGUUUCUAGCCUUAGCUAUUUGAACUGAAGAUUAGAAAUUAACUCAUGGAGUCUUCAUACUACGAAAUAUUAUGGUGUCUUAUUUAGAAAUAAUAGCAGUAAUUCAUUUGUAAAUCAUUAGCCAAUGGGCUGAUCACCCAAUAAGUCUUAACACUUGAUGUCAAUUUCUAUGACCUGAACUACAGAAACAGCCAGUUACAAUCAGAUCUUUAAUUAUAAGUUUCAAUUAUGGCAAUCACUCAGCAGCCCUUCACCCACAAUUGCAACUUAUAGUUAAUAUCAUGCUACAAUUGGCUAUUUUUGCAGUUUAGACCAAAAUUACAUAUGGACACAAAAUUUUUGG
rnacentral:misc_RNA from 1 species